rnacentral:rRNA from 1 species
ACUGGGGCGGUCUCCUCCUAAAGAGUAACGGAGGAGCACGAAGGUUGGCUAAUCCUGGUCGGACAUCAGGAGGUUAGUGCAAUGGCAUAAGCCAGCUUGACUGCGAGCGUGACGGCGCGAGCAGGUGCGAAAGCAGGUCAUAGUGAUCCGGUGGUUCUGAAUGGAAGGGCCAUCGCUCAACGGAUAAAAGGUACUCCGGGGAUAACAGGCUGAUACCGCCCAAGAGUUCAUAUCGACGGCGGUGUUUGGCACCUCGAUGUCGGCUCAUCACAUCCUGGGGCUGAAGUAGGUCCCAAGGGUAUGGCUGUUCGCCAUUUAAAGUGGUACGCGAGCUGGGUUUAGAACGUCGUGAGACAGUUCGGUCCCUAUCUGCCGUGGGCGCUGGAGAAUUGAGGGGGGCUGCUCCUAGUACGAGAGGACCGGAGUGGACGCAUCACUGGUGUUCGGGUUGUCAUGCCAAUGGCACUGCCCGGUAGCUAAAUGCGGAAGAGAUAAGUGCUGAAAGCAUCUAAGCACGAAACUUGCCCCGAGAUGAGUUCUCCCUGACUCCUUGAGAGUCCUGAAGGAACGUUGAAGACGACGACGUUGAUAGGCCGGGUGUGUAAGCGCAGCGAUGCGUUGAGCUAACCGGUACUAAUGAACCGUGAGGCUUAACCUU